CUUGAGUGCUUGCAAAUGGAAGCUGCUCAUGUUGCCCGUGGUUUACUGGAAUGGGGAAAUCUCUAGGAGUGGAUGGAGCAGCCAUGUAAUGGUUAUAGUGAUUUGACGAUGAAGCAAUGGCUGGGUCAAGAUUGGUGGCAGGAUGCUGAUAUUGAACCCCGUCAUACUGCAACUUUCCAUAAACUAAUGCACCUUCUUGAUGG
rnacentral:misc_RNA from 1 species